AUUAUUCAUGUGGAAAUGUUGGUGCUACUCAGCUCUUAAUUGUCUAUCCCUUGUGACGAUGUAGCAAAGUAAACAGGAAAUACACUGCAUGAUUUAUUAUUAAGGAGUAGUGGGAAUGCUGUGUUAAAUACUCGUCAUGCCAUAGCUUUGCGAUUGUGACUGGAAGGUCAUAGUCUUAUCUGAAGUAAAGAAUUCAUCCAGCUCUACAAAUGACAAAACAUAUUCAAUCUGGUUAGCUCAUAUUAUGUUUUAAAAACACAUGAUCUGUCAUUUCUUUUGCAAAGCUGAAUACUAACCGAUGCCUGAAGUGCCAAGUCAUUGAAAGUUGUGAGCCAAGUGCUGGAAAAUGGGAUGAGCCGAGAUGUGGAUAUUGGCAGCCAGCAAGGACAAGGAUGAAACAGGAGACACCAUCAUUUCUGAGCCAGCUCUCUGUAAUGAUUCCGUUCGGGUGUAAGGAGAAGCCGGUGGAAGCCGCAUGCCCAACGCCUCCAGUGAGGCUAGCAGCUUUUGUUACACAAGGAACUGCAAAUGCUGGAAUAUUGCGUUGAACACAAGAAUCCUGAAAUGUUGCCUAUCCAUGAGUCCACACACAGAGGCAAAGACUGAGCUGCCGGAAUAGGCCAGAGACCGGCAGCGCCUUCUCUUCAAGCCCCAAAGCUGAGCUGCCAGGAAAUGCCUGAAACCGCCACGCCUCCUCUCAGUGGCAAGGGAGAAUUACAUGGAGAAGCUUGAGAACGCCACAGUUCCUCCUUCAAGACCAGGACUGAGCUGCGAGACAAGUCCAAGAUCACCACUGACACUACACGUGCAUCCUGAUGACCAGGGACAGCAUCCCCAUACUGUCCUGGAUACCUUACCACUGUAAAUAAAACAUAUCACAUGAGUUUGCCCUACUGGAAGUGUUGGUGUGUUCAUUGGCAAACCCGGCAUCAUCCCCAACGCCACACAGCUUAAACAAAGUCUCCCACAAAGAGAGUUGAUGGGGCGUAAUUUAUUCUUUCUGGAAUAUGCUCUGGAGCACCACUCUCAUCCAUUCAGUCUGUGCACAGUUCUGCCAAUUUGAGGGCCUCCCAUGUACUUUUACACUGACCAAAUAUCGAUAAACCAUGGGACCUUCUGAUUCACUUGUGAGGGUUAGCACCCAAUGACCCAAGGUAAUGCUAUCUUGUGAAACAGCAAUACCAAUGAUGAAACUUACUCAGCUUAAUAACUGAUUAUUUAUGCCUUCUAUUAGACUUGUUAUUGAUUGGUAUUAGAAGCACCACUUGUCAAGAGUGUCGCAUUGUCACAGGCACCCGGGAACGGAACAAUGAAAUUAUUACUUUCUGCAGUUUUACUCUUGGUCAUGUUGUUAAUUUGAGAGUUGCAAGGUGCAAAAGGACAGAGUUCUGAGUGAACAGAAAAGGGGCGGUCCAACCACCACGCCAAUCCAGGCAUUGCACUGUUACGAGCAUCACUAACUUGCUUACCUACCCUCAUUUCUCUGUUCUCCAUCUCGUGUACCUGCCAAGAAGCAAAAAGUAGUGAAACCACAAGCCAAUUGGAUGCAAAGUUACUUUCACACACCAAGAACAAUCCAUGAAUCUCCAGCAGCCUCAAGCUAUGCUUUUUCCUUCAUAUACUUAUCUCUCAGCUGCUACACAAAAUGGACCUUUGAGCAAAUGCACUUGCAAAUCUCUGAGGUGAU